rnacentral:rRNA from 1 species
UAAGGAAUAUUGCGCAAUGGGCGAAAGUCUGAACCAGCCAUCCCGCGUGCAGGAAGAAGGGGCUCUGCCUUGUAAACUGCUUUUGAAUGGGACGAAAGAGCUAUAUGCGUAUAGUGUUGACGGUACCAUUAGAAUAAGCACCGGCUAACUCCGUGCCAGCAGCCGCGGUAAUACGGAGGGUGCAAGCGUUAUCCGGAUUCAUUGGGUUUAAAGGGUGCGUAGGCGGACUGAUAAGUCAGUGGUGAAAUCUCUCGGCUUAACCGAGAAACUGCCAUUGAUACUGUUAGUCUAGAGUACAGAUGAUGUGGGCGGAAUAUGACAUGUAGUGGUGAAAUACUUAGAUAUGUCAUAGAACACCGAUUGCGAAGGCAGCUCACAAAACUGUAACUGACGCUGAGGCACGAAAGUGCGGGGAUCAAACAGGAUUAGAUACCCCCGUAGUCCCUGAGCGGGCUGGCAAGGCGCAU